AUUGAACGCUGGCGGCAGGCCUAACACAUGCAAGUCGCGCGGCUCGACGGACGGGUGAGUAAUGCCUAUGAAUCUGCCUGUUAGUGGGGGAUAAAGUCCGGAAACGGGCGCUAAUACCGCAUACUAUCACAUGAGCCUAGGUGGGAUUAGGUAGUUGGUGGGGUAAAGGCAUACCAAGGACACGAUCCGUAACUGGUCUGAGUGGAGGAUCAGCCACACUGGAACGGAGACACGGCCCAGACUCCUACGGGAGGCAGCAGGGGGGAAUAUUGGACAAUGGGCGAAAGCCUGAUCCAGCCAUGCCGCGUGUGUGAAGAAGGUCUUCGGAUUGUAAAGUACUUUAAGUUGGGAGGCGUUACCAACAGAAGAAGCACCGGCUAACUCCGUGCCAGCAGCCGCGGUAAUAC
rnacentral:rRNA from 1 species